rnacentral:rRNA from 1 species
GCACCCGCGGUAAUUCCAGCACCAAUAGCGUAUAUUAAUGCUGCUGCUGUUAAAAAGCUCGUAGUUGGAUCAAGAGUUGGACAGUGCACGGCGGCCUCGUUUGUUAGUUUGGCUCCUGGUCAGGCUAGCGGCGAUGGAACAACCCCGUGCGCCAAACUGUCCACUCUAACAGGCCGAAACGGUUCCCUGUGAGUAGGCUCCUUCAUUGGGGCUGAAAGCGCCUACGCAUCAACUAUAUGCAUACGGGACGUCGGCCAAUGUUACUGUGAACAAACCAGCGUGUCCAAAGCAGGCUCCCGCCUGAAUGUUCGAGCAUGGAAUAACAAGGGAUCGGUUCUCUCGGUUCUUUUUGUUGGUUUUUAACCCGAGAAGAAGUAAUUCAGGCCACGGUGUCUGAGUUGAGUUUCCCUGGCUCUCGGGUCAGGCCUCAACUAGGCCGUGUCCUUACGGGAUCAAUAGGGACUGACGGGGUCGUACGUACUUCCGCGUCAGAGGUGAAAUUCUUAGAUCGCGGGAAGACGAACUUCUGCGAAAGCAUUCGACAAGAAUGUCUUCAUUAAUCAAGAACGAGAGUGUGGGGAUCGAAGAUGAUCAGAUACCGUUGUAGUCCACUACUGUAAACAAUGCCGUCUCAGGAUUGAGAAGCGAACGUAAUGACUUUCACAGCACUAACCCCUGAAACGAGAAAUCAAAGAUUAUGGGUUCAGGCGGGAGUACAUUCGCAAGGCUGAAACUUAAAGGAAUUGACGGAAUGACACCACAAGGCGUGGAGUAUGCGGCUUAAUUUGACUCAACACGGGGAAUUUUACUAGGUCAGGACAAUGUAAGGAUUGACAGAUUGAGAGCUCUUUCUCGAUCCGUUGUGUGGUGGUGCAUGGCCGCUCCUGGUUGGUGGAGUGAUUUGUCUGGUUGAUUCCGUUAACGAACGAGAUCUCGACCCUUAAAUAGGUCUCUCGUCGACUUGUAGUCUUGCAGUUACUAGCUCGCUAGAUCAACUCGGGACGAGACUGGGAGAAAACUUCUUAAGGGGACUGUGUGCGUAUAUAGCACGCGGAAGAGCGAGCCAAUAGCGGGUCUGUGAAGCUCCUAAAUGUCCUAGGCUGCACGCGCACUACACUGAUGCAAUAAACGAGUCUGAGUGCCUCCUGGCAACCUACCUGGAAGCGGGUGGGAAAUCUUUUGAACUUGCAUCGUGAUGAG